rnacentral:rRNA from 1 species
UACGGAGGGUGCAAGCGUUGUUCGGAAUUAUUGGGCGUAAAGGGGAGGUAGGUGGUCUCGUUUGUCUAAUGUGAAACCCCCAGGCUUAACCUGGGACCUGCAUUGGAAACGGCGAGACUUGAGUCAUGGAGAGGGUAGCGGAAUUCCCGGUGUAGCGGUGAAAUGCGUAGAGAUCGGGAGGAACACCAGAGGCGUAGGCGGCUACCUGGACAUGUACUGACACUCAACUCCGAAAGCGUGGGGAGCAAACAGG